rnacentral:tRNA from 1 species
GCCGACGUGGCUCAGUGGUAGAGCGUUUCCUUGGUAAGGAAAAAGUCAUGGGUUCGAUUCCCAUCGUCGGCU